rnacentral:sRNA from 1 species
GCCGGGCAUGGUGGCGCGCGCCUGUAGUCCCAGCUACUCGGGAGGCUGAGGCUGGAGGAUCGCUUGAGCCCAGGAGUUCUGGGCUGCAGUGCGUUAUGCCGAUCGGGUGUCCGCUCUAAGUUCGGCAUCAAUAUGGUGACCCUCCAGGAGUGGGGAACCACCAGGUUGCCUAAGGAACUUACAGAAUGGGAGAAAAUAAUGUCAAAUGAUGCAACUGACAAGGGCCUAAUCUCCAAAAUAUAUAAACAACUUAUGCAGCUCAACAGCAAAAAAAACAACAACCCCAU